AGUCUGUUUCAUCAGUAAAGAAUCAUCAGGCGGUAUCUGAUACCGCCUGAUGAUUCUUUACUGAUGAAACAGACUGU